rnacentral:rRNA from 1 species
CAGAGACCGAUAGCGCACAAGUAGAGUGAUCGAAAGAUGAAAAGCACUUUGAAAAGAGGGUUAAAAAGUACGUGAAAUUGUUGAAAGGGAAGCGCCCAUGACCAGACUUGGGCCCGGCGAAUCACCCAGCGUUCUCGCUGGUGCACUUUGCCGGGCACAGGCCAGCAUCGGUCUGCCGCGGGGGAGAAAGGCGGCGGGAACGUGGCUCCCUCGGGAGUGUUAUAGCCCGCCGCGCAAUGCCCUGGGGCGGACCGAGGUACGCGCUUCUGCAAGGAUGCUGGCGUAAUGGUCAUCAGCGACCCGUCUUGAAACACGGACCAAGGAGUCGUCUUCGUAUGCGAGUGUUCGGGUGUCAAACCCCUACGCGUAAUGAAAGUGAACGCAGGUGAGAGCUACGGCGCAUCAUCGACCGAUCCUGAUGUUCUCGGAUGGAUUUGAGUAAGAGCAUACGGGGCCGGACCCGAAAGAAGGUGAACUAUGCCUGUAUAGGGUGAAGCCAGAGGAAACUCUGGUGGAGGCUCGCAGCGGUUCUGACGUGCGAAUCGAUCGUCAAAUAUGGGCAUGGGGGCGAAAGACUAAUCGAACCUUCUAGUAGCUGGUUUC